rnacentral:rRNA from 1 species
AACGAACGCUGGCGGCAGGCUUAACACAUGCAAGUCGAACGCAUGCCUUCGGGCAUGAGUGGCAGACGGGUGAGUAACGCGUGGGAACCUACCCCUUGGUACGGGAUAGCUCCGGGAAACUGGAGUUAAUACCGUAUGUGUCCUGAGGGACAAAGAUUCAUCGCCAAGGGAUGGGCCCGCGUCGGAUUAGCUAGUUGGUGGGGUAACGGCCUACCAAGGCGACGAUCCGUAGCUGGUCUAAGAGGAUGAUCAGCCACAUUGGGACUGAGACACGGCCCAAACUCCUACGGGAGGCAGCAGUGGGGAAUAUUGGACAAUGGGCGCAAGCCUGAUCCAGCCAUGCCGCGUGAGUGAUGAAGGCCCUAGGGUUGUAAAGCUCUUUCACCGGUGACGAUAAUGACGGUAACCGGAGAAGAAGCCCCGGCUAACUUCGUG